CGACCGGCGCACGGGUGCGUAACACGAAUGCAAUCUACCUAUAACCGGGGAAUAACUCGCCGAAAGGCGAAUUAAUACCGCAUAACACUUCGAGGUGGCAUCACCAUGAAGUUAAACCUCCGGGGGUUAUAGAUGAGCAUGCGUCCGAUUAGAUAGUUGGCGAGGUAACGGCUCACCAAGUCUACGAUCGGUAGGGGUUCUGAGAGGAAGAUCCCCCACACUGGUACUGAGACACGGACCAGACUCCUACGGGAGGCAGCAGUAAGGAAUAUUGGACAAUGGGCGCAAGCCUGAUCCAGCCAUGCCGCGUGCAGGAUGAAGGAGCUCAGCUCUGUAAACUGCUUUUGUUUGGGAAAAAACCCCUGGUUUCUACCGGGGCUGAUUGUACCAAAAGAAUAAGGGACGGCUAACUUCGUGCCAGCAGCCGCGGUAAUACGAAGGUCCCAAGCGUUAUCCGGAUUUAUUGGGUUUAAAGGGUGCGUAGGCGGGCUAUUAAGUCAGUGGUGAAAGCCUCAAGCUUAACUUGAGAAUUGCCAUUGAUACUGAUGACCUUGAGUACAUUUGAAGUGGGCGGAAUGUGUCAUGUAGCGGUGAAAUGCUUAGAUAUGACACAGAACACCGAUUGCGUAGGCAGCUCACUAAACUGUAACUGACGCUGAGGCACGAAAGCGUGGGGAGCAA
rnacentral:rRNA from 1 species